UACGUAGGGGGCGAGCGUUAUCCGGAUUCACUGGGUGUAAAGGGAGCGUAGACGGCCGAUCAAGUCUGGAGUGAAAGCCCGGGGCCCAACCCCGGGACUGCUCUGGAAACUGGUGGGCUAGAGUGCUGGAGAGGUAAGUGGAAUUCCUAGUGUAGCGGUGAAAUGCGUAGAUAUUAGGAGGAACACCAGUGGCGAAGGCGGCUUACUGGACAGUGACUGACGUUGAGGCUCAAAAGCGUGGGGAGCAAACAGG
rnacentral:rRNA from 1 species